rnacentral:rRNA from 1 species
AUGGCGGGGGCGAUGGUGGUGCACGGGCACGGCGGCGGGGGCCGGGACCGGGACCGGGACAGGUCGUCGCCCGGCGGCAGCGGCGCGCCGCAGGUGGACACGGGCAAGUACGUGCGCUACACCCCGGAGCAGGUGGACGCGCUGGAGCGCGUCUACAGCGAGUGCCCCAAGCCCAGCUCGCUGCGCCGGCAGCAGCUCAUACGGGAGUGCCCCAUCCUCAGCAACAUCGAGCCCAAGCAGAUCAAGGUCUGGUUCCAGAACCGCAGGUGCCGCGAGAAGCAACGGAAGGAGGCCUCUCGCCUGCAGACUGUGAACCGGAAGCUGUCUGCGAUGAACAAGCUGCUGAUGGAGGAGAACGACAGGCUGCAGAAGCAGGUGUCCCGUCUCGUCUACGAGAACGGCUACAUGCGGACGCACCUCAAUAAUCCUUCUGUAGCGACUACAGACACGAGCUGUGAGUCUGUUGUUACUAGUGGUCAGCACCAGCAGCAGCAGAACGCAGUAGUUCCGCGUCCGCAAAGGGACGCGAACAACCCAGCAGGUCUACUCGCUAUCGCUGAGGAGACAUUGGCAGAGUUCCUGUCCAAGGCGACCGGAACUGCUGUCGAUUGGGUGCAAAUGGUUGGGAUGAAGCCUGGUCCGGAUUCCAUUGGAAUCAUUGCUGUUUCGCACAAUUGUAGUGGCGUAGCAGCCCGAGCUUGCGGUCUUGUGAGCCUUGAGCCCACAAAGGUUGCCGAGAUCCUCAAGGAUCGCCCCUCUUGGUAUCGUGACUGUCGGUGUGUGGAUGUGCUCCAGAUUAUCCCUACGGGUAAUGGUGGAACUAUUGAGCUUAUCUACAUGCAGACUUAUGCACCGACAACUUUGGCGGCACCGCGUGACUUCUGGAUUCUCCGCUACACUAGCGGUCUUGAAGACGGCAGUCUUGUGAUCUGUGAGAGAUCGUUGACUCAAGCCACUGGCGGUCCAUCAGGACCUAACACUCCAAAUUUUGUCCGAGCCGAGGUGCUACCUAGUGGCUAUUUAAUCCGCCCUUGCGAGGGGGGUGGCUCCAUGAUCCACAUUGUAGAUCAUGUUGAUUUGGAUGCUUGGAGUGUGCCUGAGGUCCUUAGACCACUUUAUGAGUCUCCAAAGAUUCUUGCGCAGAAGAUGACAAUUGCGGCCCUGCGUCACAUUAGGCAGAUUGCGCAUGAAUCAAGUGGAGAGAUGCCCUAUGGAGGGGGGCGCCAGCCAGCAGUUCUAAGAACAUUUAGUCAGAGAUUGAGCAGAGGCUUCAACGACGCUGUUAAUGGAUUUCUGGAUGAUGGCUGGUCACUGAUGAGCAGUGAUGGUGCUGAGGAUGUUACAAUUGCUAUCAACUCAUCUCCAAACAAACUUGCUGUAUCUCAUGUCAACCCCUCCCAGAUGUUUACUGUAAUUGGGGGCGGCGUCUUAUGUGCCAAGGCUUCAAUGUUGCUGCAGAAUGUACCGCCUGCUCUACUAGUACGGUUUCUGAGGGAGCACCGCUCUGAAUGGGCUGAUCCUGGUGUUGAUGCUUAUUCUGCCGCUGCUUUGCGAGCUAGUCCUUAUGCAGUUCCUGGUCUACGAGCGAGUGGGUUUAUGGGCAGUCAGGUUAUAUUGCCACUUGCACAUACCUUAGAGCAUGAAGAGUUCUUGGAGGUUAUUAGACUGGAGGGACACAGUCUGUGUCAUGAUGAAGUUGUUCUAUCAAGAGAUAUGUAUCUUCUGCAGUUAUGCAGCGGUGUUGAUGAGAAUGCUGCUGGUGCAUGUGCACAGCUUGUCUUUGCGCCGAUUGAUGAAUCGUUCGCUGAUGAUGCUCCACUACUACCCUCGGGCUUCCGUGUGAUACCACUUGAUGCCAAGACGGAUGCGCCAUCUGCGACACGUACACUUGACCUUGCAUCCACUCUUGAGGUUGGACCUGGUGGGACUCGUGCUCCCAGCGACGCAUCCAGCACCAGCAACACAAGAUCAGUGCUUACCAUUGCUUUCCAGUUCUCGUAUGAGAACCACCUUCGAGAGAGUGUUGCAGCAAUGGCGAGGCAGUAUGUGAGGACCGUGGUGGCAUCGGUGCAGAGAGUGGCCAUGGCAAUAGCCCCUUCCCGUCCUGGUGGACAGCUUGAAAUGAAGAACCCUCCAGGAUCCCCUGAGGCUCACACGCUUGCGAGGUGGAUCGGCAGGAGCUACAGGUUUCACACCGGGGCGGAACUGCUUUGCAUGGAGUCGCAGAGCGCGGACGCUUCCCUGAAAGCGCUGUGGCAGCACUCGGAUUCAAUCAUGUGCUGUUCCCUGAAGGCUGCUCCGGUGUUCACCUUCGCCAACCAGGCCGGGCUGGACAUGCUGGAGACGACGCUGAUCGCGCUCCAGGACAUCUCGCUCGAGAAGAUCCUUGACGACGACGGCCGCAAGGCGCUGUGCUCCGAGUUCCCCAAGAUCAUGCAGCAGGGUUUCGCGUACCUCCCGGGCGGCGUGUGCGUGUCGAGCAUGGGGCGGCCGGUGUCGUACGAGCAGGCGGUGGCGUGGAAGGUGCUGGGCGACGACGACGCGCCGCACUGCCUCGCCUUCAUGUUCGUCAACUGGUCCUUCGUCUAG